GGCAAAAUGGGAAAAUUAGAAGAGUGUUUGUUUUAGAGUCAGAAGACCUGAUUUCAAGUCUCAGUUUUGCCA
rnacentral:tRNA from 1 species